GACGAACGCUGGCGGCGUGCUUAACACAUGCAAGUCGAACGAUGACGACCGAGCUUGCUCGGUCUGAUUAGUGGCGAACGGGCGAGUAACACGUGAGCAACCUGCCCUUCACUCUGGGAUAACCUCGGGAAAUCGGGGCUAAUACCGGAUAUGAGCUCCUGUCGCAUGGCGGGUGUUGGAAAGUUUUUCGGUGAAGGAUGGGCUCGCGGCCUAUCAGUUUGUUGGUGAGGUAGUGGCUCACCAAGGCGAUGACGGGUAGCCGGCCUGAGAGGGCGACCGGCCACACUGGGACUGAGAAACGGCCCAGACUCCUACGGGAGGCAGCAGUGGGGAAUAUUGCACAAUGGGCGAAAGCCUGAUGCAGCGACGCCGCGUGAGGGAUGACGGCCUUCGGGUUGUAAACCUCUUUCAGCAGGGAAGAAGCGAAAGUGACGGUACCUGCAGAAGAAGCGCCGGCUAACUACGUG
rnacentral:rRNA from 1 species